rnacentral:rRNA from 1 species
UGCAGUCGAACGGGAUCCGAGCUUCGGUUCGGUGAGAGUGGCGAACGGGUGAGUAACGCGUGGGAACCUGCCCAGAGGUACGGAAUAACAGUUGGAAACGACUGCUAAUACCGUAUGAGCCCGAGAGGGGAAAGAUUUAUCGCCUUUGGAGGGGCCCGCGUCAGAUUAGGUAGUUGGUGGGGUAACGGCCUACCAAGCCGACGAUCUGUAGCUGGUCUGAGAGGAUGAUCAGCCACACUGGGACUGAGAUACGGCCCAAACUCCUACGGGAGGCAGCAGUGGGGAAUAUUGGACAAUGGGGGCAACCCUGAUCCAGCAAUGCCGCGUGAGUGAUGAAGGCCUUCGGGUUGUAAAGCUCUUUUGCCAGGGACGAUGAUGACGGUACCUGGAGAAUAAGCCCCGGCUAACUUCGUGCCAGCAGCCGCGGUAAUACGAAGGGGGCUAGCGUUGUUCGGAAUUACUGGGCGUAAAGGGCGCGUAGGCGGUCUGAUAAGUUAGGUGUGAAAUUCCCGGGCUUAACCUGGGGGCUGCAUUUAAUACUGUCAGGCUUGAAUCCGGGAGAGGAUAGCGGAAUUCCCAGUGUAGAGGUGAAAUUCGUAGAUAUUGGGAAGAACACCAGUGGCGAA